rnacentral:rRNA from 1 species
UACGUAGGCAGCGAGCGUUGUUCGGAAUUACUGGGCGUAAAGAGUGUGUAGGCGGUGUUCCCAGUCUGUUGUGAAAUCUCCCGGCUUAACUGGGAGGGUGCAGCGGAAACUAGAAUGCUAGAGGGUGGGAGAGGUAAGCGGAAUUCCUGGUGUAGCGGUGAAAUGCGUAGAUAUCAGGAGGAACACCAAUGGCGAAGGCAGCUCGCUGGGACGUGACUGACGCUGAGACGCGAAAGCGUGGGGAGCAAACAGG